AUCAUCGAAUAAAUCAAUCGUGAGUGUCAGCUUUUGUGUGCCCGUCAUAUGCCAAUGCUGUGGGUAUUCCUUUGAAAAUGUUAACACUAAUUGUGUGGAAUUGUUUCGUCCCGUUCUAGACAAUCAUUUUUCCUUGCUGUCCUCUGAGAACAGUUGUAUGAUAGAAAGGAGAGGGUAAGACUAAUUGUUGCCAUACAGGCUACGAAAAACAUGCUUUAUGAAUAACCUGGACAGUUCUUUGGAGGCUAGUGUUGCUGCUUGUGGGUAAAGUGCAGGGCGUGUGCUGCGGCCUGGAUCGCUGGUCCGAGUGACCCUGUGCCGCGGCCAAGGGGGCACCCUCGCCGACAGUGAGGUGCGUCGCUGCCCCAGCGACACGUGGCAGGUGGUGGAGAUGGCUGCUCCAGGGGGAUUCAUCCUGCACCAGGUUCUGCCCUUCUGCGCACCAGCUGGCUACACUCCACGUGGGUACAGGGGUGGUACCAAAGGCUUCCACACUGAAGGUGCCCUGACGCACGUGUUCUGCCUGGUGGGCAGCGCAGUCCCAGUGCUGCCCAGUGCGUGUUCCAUGUGUGCGGAGCAGAAUGUCUUGGCAAAUCGCCUCUGAGUCUAUACGUGCAGACUUCGGACAAGAGGCAGUGCAACUUGCAAAGAACUAUAUCAAAGCCCUGAAAGGCAUCUCCACCUUCAAGACCCACCUAGACUUCACCCGGAAAUGCAAAGAAAAAAACAUCGUUCCACGAAGUCUCCAGUUACGCCAACCUAUCAACACAGCGGAAGGCCGGGACAUCAUCAACAAAGCUCAGCAAAGACUGGUGACAGCGCGGAUACACGAGUGCCACACGGUGAUUAGGAAGAGAGAAGUCGAUGCUUUCUUCGCCAAAAGACAGCUCGAACACCAGGUACCCCAUCUCUUUUCAUCAAUUGAUUCAUUUGCAAAGGCCAUUGCGUCCUCAGAUGAAAACAAGCACCGCAAAAUGCAGAAGAAAAAACUCUUCUUUAAUCAAGCAAACCGAAAAAUCAGGAAUAUUGGAUAGGCACACAGUAACGAAUUUAUCAUCGAGGAAGCUAACAACAGAAGAGACUUCGGUCCUGGCAAAAGGUCAUAAAUUCAACGUCACCACAGGUAACCUCCCCCUGCCCAAGAUUGUCGCCGCCCUCGAGAGCGGCAUCCAGCAGCUGGACCCUAAAGUGCGGGAACCGCUCAGAUUAAAAGCAAUAGGCAUAAUAAGGUGCAAUAACAACCGUAGAAGAGAAAGAAACUUGUCGUCUGACGAAAUAAGAGUGCUGAGAUUACUGAAAGAAGAUAAGGACAUUGUAAUUCUACCAGCGGACAAGGGCAACUCAACCGUCGUGUUGAACAUGCAGGACUACGAGGAAAAAGCGUCCACCCUACUCAACAGCCAAGACCACAAAAAAAGUUGUCGCAGUUUCACCUGAAAGGCGAAGCAUCAAUUGCGAUAGCAAAUUUGUAGAGAGCUAUACGGAG